rnacentral:lncRNA from 1 species
UUUUUCAUCUCACCUUCUACCCUCUAUCUAUUCAUNUUCUCCAAGAAAGAACUGUUUGAUUUUUUUCUCCUUGACGACUCUGUAACCAACCCAGAAUGCCAACCAUCACAUCUCUGACCUCUCCAGCACCGUUUCGUGGAGGUUUCGUUCUUUUUUCCAAAUUGUUUUUCAUCUAACAAUUUAUNUGNAGUCUCUCUCAAUCCUAUCUCUAGCCCUAACACCCAAUCUUCCUUUCGAUCCUUCAUCUCUCAGAUAUUUCCUUAUUCCAAAACCUAGCUCAAUUUAUCCACUCGAUUUUCAUAAUAUUCCGUUUCAAGUUCUGCUUUAAUUGAAUAUAAAAUGUUAUAGUNGAUGAUUGCCUACAUAGUUUAGAAAGCUGCAGCUGAAAUUGGUCAUUCAAUCAUUGAUUUGUUGUGCAGUGCACCUUCAACAUUUGAAAGACAAUUCCAAUUAGAACUUCCUCUUUUGUAUCGAUACCUCAUUGAUGCUCCUUCUGGUAAGGUAUUUCUUAACUUUUAAUAUUCUAAUUUUUUCCAGUUUGGAAAGAUGCUAUUUCAAGUGAUUUUGUUUAUUUUCCUGCUUACUACUAACCACAGCACGUCUGCUGCUGCAGUUAUAACAGGGUCAGGAACUUUUUAAACUUUAGGGUUUNGGGAAGGAAAAGGGAAGACAUGAUUAUGGCUAACACUGAUGAUUAGAUAUAGUACUAAAUUACUAAUUAGGUCAAGAACCCAAUCCCACUACUAAUGACUGUAAUAUCUUAUACGAGAACUAGAACUUAUAUAUUGAUUUUGUCAUUUUUACAUCAUCUUGAUUUCCUGUAGGUCUGUUAGAAGGACGUGAUUCAUUGGAUGUGGCCUCUUUUCACAGAAANUUAGAGAUCAUGGAGAAAUGAUGUCUUGCAUCUUAGUCCAUGUCCUUUUUACUGUUAGUGUUUUCUAUUAUUUUUUCUGCCUUAAAAUAUAAUUUCUAUGCCUACUAGUUUGUGUUUUAAAAAAUUAUAUGCUACCUUAGUUAGGUUGUUAUAGGCACGUGCCCUUGCUGAGAAGUAUGGGGCACAAUCAAGAGCAGGAACAAACCCUCUCUUUUGGUUCCACAAUCAAGUAACGUUAACUGCUUUCGAUUCUUUUUCAUUUUCGUGUUUGUCAAUUGAAUUCGAUGCAUUUUACUUUUGUCAUCAGUGAUUUUGUUUUUCUUACCUUUGCUCUUAAUUUGAACAAAUGCCUUUUUGUUUCUGUUCGCGUUUCAGAUUUUGCUGA